UUUUGCUGUCCUCUCCUAUGAUCGACUCUUCUAUCUCCAUUCCACGCGCACACCCUCACCCACACCCACCCCUGUCCCCCCCCCCUAACGCUCCUGAUCUCCUUACAGUUUCCAUCCCCAACGCUGAUAGUCGUGGGGCAUGACACGAGCUCAGCUAUGAGUCCGUGUUGUGUGCGCAUACACGCACAGAUACACACAGAAAGCGAGAGACGCCUACCGCCGACUGUCAAUAUCCUCGCCAGAGGACAAAGAAGUGGAAGGAGGGGGGGGCGUAAGGAAAGCGUAAGGCUUACGAUCGCCUCAUGUGCGCCACGCACGAGUGCAGCCGAGGCGGUGCACAUUAUGCGGGCCCAAAACUCAUGAUUUUGCGUGUUCAAGAGAUCGCUGGACAGCAACUCCACCGUAACGGAUGGCUGGGCGACUGACCACGCGUGCCAAGCCGGCCUGAGGCUCGGCGCCAUGGGAAGAUGCCUGCACGGCCGGGUUGGAGGAGGGGGAUUUGCCCACCCACAUGCCACACCCGGCUACCAUGAUCCUGUUUUUACCUGUUCUCGAAGGUUCUCCUUCGCCAUUUCGCAAACGCCUCCGUCCGGCGAACAGGAGGCGAGAAAGAGAUGAGAGGGGAGUGUGGUCGCUGGACGGUAAAUCAGAAUGAAGAGAGCGGCGGGUCUGCGUCUCAUCAUCCUUUGGUGUGUGUGUGUGUGUGCUCGCAAAUUUGAGAUGGGGCUAGUGGGAGUGGCUGGAGGGCGAGGGGUGUGAGAGAGCGACGGGGUAGUCAGGCGGGCGCUGGGUACAACCAAGACGGCAGGGGGGUCACACACACGUGCGCCGCUUCACGCUGCUGCCUUAUCCUCGCAGCGAAAGCGGCAAGCGCAUAGUGCUGUGUCUCCCCAUCACGGCGCCGUCGUCGAUGUUACACCCCCUUACGAAGAAAAAGGUCGGGGCACGCUUCUUUCUUCGACCUGGCCUUCUUUCCUUUCCUAUGAGGCGACGUGCUUCUCUCCUACUCCCCCCCCCCUUCCCGCAUAUGCACGCGUCUCCCUCGCGUCGCGAUCUCGAUCCUCUGCGCUAUCGUAUCUCCCUCACUUUGGAUGCCUUCGUUUGAUGGAGAACUCACAGCACCCUGGGAAGUGAACCGUGGUGAGGGUGGUUGGGGAGAUACGCCGGGCAUGCACAGUGCCUCUGCCCCCCCCUCCCGCAUCCCUUCACAGGCAUACACACCACAAGCUCCAUCAGCCAAAGUAACAAGAGAUGAAGAGAAAGCAAUAACGCGCGCGAGAGCGAGAAGGCGAGACAUAUAUUAUGGGGAAUGCCGACGGUCAACUCUCCUGCUUACCUCCGCACCUCCUCCGCUCUUCGUCCUGCGCCAGCAAGUGGGCGUGCACCGGUCCCUGCGGAGGUUUUUCCUUUAUUGGCUUCCUUUUCGCGCGCGUGUGUGUGGAUCCUUUUCGCUCGCCUUCCGCGGGGCGCAUACGCGUGCGGCAAGAUUCAAGGGUGCGAGGGACGGACGACGGAGGCGCUUUUCUUACAUUCCCUUGCCCACUGCGAGCGAUAACUGCACUUCGAUCGUCAGUGCGCCUUCUGGGUCCCUCCUCCCUCGUUGCUGCCGCUAUCCGUGCCCUCACAGUAAGUCCCGCGACACCCCACCCCUUCAUGUAUCCACCCGGUGAGACAGGAAAGUGGAAGGAAAGGUGUUUCCUCACUCCCGUCCUGUGCACAAGCGCAAGCACAUGCGGGUAUGUCUGCUCUUGUAUGGAGGACGC
rnacentral:misc_RNA from 1 species